GAACUGACAGAUACACAGCAAAGCUCCACAUACUUUUCCUUUUCUUUGUGCCUGCAAAGUUCUUCUUCAGUGUCUCUCUCUUUUCAGCUACUACUGCUGGUUGGUUUAAAAAAACAGGACAAUAGUAAAAAUUAGAGACAAGUGUUUGGCCAUAAAGAGAAACACUGGCUACCUCCCGUAUUUUCAAGCGUGGGUGAUGGUUGUAGUUUUCCAUCUCACCUUGUAGGGGAUGAAUCCAGAAAAAGCUUCUGUUACAAAUCAAAAUGGACAUGCCAGAAGUAUUAGCUCAAAUCAACCUUGUCCUGUCUAACCACUCAGUGACCCAAAAUACCACUUGGACUAUUAAUCUCAGGGGCCAGAGAAUGGAGCUGGAGAAGGAGUUGUUAGAUCGGGGACAAAUAACCAUGUUAUAGUGGCAAUAGGAAAU
rnacentral:lncRNA from 1 species